AUCCAGCUGACGAGUCCCAAAUAGGACAAAAACGCGCUUUCUGGAC
rnacentral:hammerhead_ribozyme from 1 species